GACAGAGGGUGCAAACGUUGUUCGGAAUCAUUGGGCGUAAAGAGCGUGUAGGCGGCCACUUAAGUCCUGCGUGAAAUCUUGCGGCUCAACCGCAAGCGGUCGUGGGAAACUGGGUGGCUAGAGUGCGGGAGAGGAGAGUGGAAUUCCUGGUGUAGCGGUGGAAUGCGCAGAUAUCAGGAAGAACACCCGUGGCGAAGGCGGCUCUCUGGAACGCAACUGACGCUGAGACGCGAAAGCGUGGGGAGCAAACAGG
rnacentral:rRNA from 1 species